rnacentral:rRNA from 1 species
GUGGCGGACGGGUGAGUAAUGUAUAGUUAAUCUGCCCUUAGAGAGGAAUAACUACUGGAAACGGUAGCUAAUACCUCAUACUCCUUUAAUCUUAAUGGUUAUUGGGAAACGUUUUUUCGCUAAAGGAUGAGACUAUAUGGUAUCAGGUAGUUGGUGGGGUAAGAGCCUACCAAGCCAAUGACGCCUAGCUGGUCUGAGAGGAUGAUCAGCCACACUGGAACUGAGACACGGUCCAGACUCCUACGGGAGGCAGCAGUGGGGAAUAUUGCACAAUGGAGGAAACUCUGAUGCAGCAACGCCGCGUGGAGGAUGACACAUUUCGGUGCGUAAACUCCUUUUAUAUGGGAAGAUAAUGACAGUACCAUAUGAAUCAGCACCGGCUAACUCCGUGCCAGCAGCCGCGGUAAUACUGAGGGUGCCAGCGUUACUCGGAAUCACUGCGCGUAGAGCGCGCGCGGCGGCUAUUUCACUUGGAUGUGAAAAGCACACGGCUCCACCGUAGAAGUGCAUGAAAACUAUUUAAAUAAAGUGUGGGUAGGAAGAUGGAAUUACUUGU